rnacentral:misc_RNA from 1 species
GGACCAUAUCGAUCCAUUACGGGCCAUACAGAAGAACUUUACGCUCUAAUUGUUUAAAUGCCCCGGUGUAUACACAACCGCUGAAGGCGACAUUUACUCGGGCACAUGGGAGAGCGACAAGCUGAAUGCCUUCGAAGUGACCACUAUACAGUACAAAGACGGCUCAAAGUACG